rnacentral:rRNA from 1 species
GCAAGUCGAACGAGAAGCCACCUUCGGGUGGUGGAGAGUGGCGCACGGGUGCGUAACGCGUAGGCAAUCUGCCCUAGGCUGGGGAAUAACCGGUGGAAACGCCGGCUAAUACCGCAUAACGUCGGGAGUCCGCAUGGGCACCUGACCAAAACUCCAGUGGCCUAGGAUGAGCCUGCGUCGGAUUAGCUAGUUGGUGGGGUAAAGGCCCACCAAGGCGACGAUCCGUAGCGGGUCUGAGAGGAUGAUC